UACGGAGGGUGCGAGCGUUGUUCGGAAUUAUUGGGCGUAAAGCGCACGUAGGCGGCCCGUUAAGUCUCUUGGUGAAAGGCCGGGGCUCAACCCCGAGCAUGCCGGGGAUACUGGGGGGCUGGAGACAGGUAGAGGCCAGCGGAAUUCCGGGUGUAGCGGUGGAAUGCGUAGAGAUCCGGAAGAACACCGGAGGCGAAGGCGGCUGGCUGGACCUGAUCUGACGCUGAGGUGCGAAAGCGUGGGGAGCGAACAGGAUUAGAAACCGUGUAGUCC
rnacentral:rRNA from 1 species